AUUGAACGCUGGCGGCAUGCCUUACACAUGCAAGUCGAACGGCAGCAUGGAGGAGCUUGCUCCUCUGAUGGCGAGUGGCGAACGGGUGAGUAAAGCAUCGGAACGUACCGUGUAGUGGGGGAUAACGUAGCGAAAGUUACGCUAAUACCGCAUACGCACUGAGGUGGAAAGCAGGGGAUCGCAAGACCUUGCGCUAUACGAGCGGCCGAUGUCAGAUUAGCUAGUUGGUAGGGUAAAGGCCUACCAAGGCGACGAUCUGUAGCGGGUCUGAGAGGAUGAUCCGCCACACUGGGACUGAGACACGGCCCAGACUCCUACGGGAGGCAGCAGUGGGGAAUUUUGGACAAUGGGGGAAACCCUGAUCCAGCCAUUCCGCGUGUGCGAUGAAGGCCUUCGGGUUGUAAAGCACUUUUGGUCAGGAAAGAAAUCGCAUCAAUUAAUACUUGGUGUGGAUGACGGUACCUGCAGAAUAAGACACCGG
rnacentral:rRNA from 1 species